GGCUGAUUCAGCCCGUGCACAGCCGCGCGGGCGCAAGCGAGGAGGCGCCCGAGGAGCGAUGCCGGACCCGACACCCCGUGCAGCCGGGGCCACCGCAGCCACCUCCCCCUCCGGCAUGGGCACACCGACACCAAGUCCACCUGCAAAAAUGCCUCAACUUCUACAGACGACUCUUUUUUCCUGUAAAUAACAGGAGAGGAACUUUUCCUGGCUGGGUUCCACGUUCAUUCAAAGCGCCCACUCGUCCCCAUCGUCACUAAUAAGGGUUCGCGGCUUGAGAAACGCUAACGACAACCUCCGUGGGAUGCGAAGGAGUGAGACUGCGCAAGCUCCGGGGCGGCUCUGCAGGGCAGAAGGCUCCAGAGAGCCCCUCUGGGGGGAAAAAAAAAGAAAAAAAAAAUAAAAAUCAGGUGGGAGCGUGGCCUCCAUGAGCGUGGCAGAGGGGCCGGUUGGAGGCUCCCGGGCGCGCGGGGCUCCAAUGCCCCGGAGAUCCCCGCCGAGGGCGGGGGCGAGUUGCAGGGCUACGCGGUGGUGCUUGGGCACAAGCUGGCCCAUGGGUGUUCGCUGGUUAAACGUCCUGCUGGUCUGCACAGAGAAGCAGAGAUGUUCAGUCUUAAUUUGUGCUUCAAGUCAGUUGAAAAAUGAGUGGCAAGAAGGGAUUUCCACAGAAAAUGAAGCUUACUUUUUUUUAAAAAAAAAAGUCCUGAAACACAACAUUGCAACCAAAUUAUAUACUUUUUCCUAAUUGCAAUACAACAUAGCCUCUAACAGGAGCUGUAGUCUCUGCAUCUCAUGCUCCACUCUCUUCCCUAAGCCAGGCUCUCUGCUUGAACUGCAUCUCCCACAAAAGUGCUUAGCUUAGAGCUUCAACUUUGCAAUGAGGAAAAUAAAUGCAGGAAUUUGGAACUCUUGCUCCAUAGAAAGCUCAAUUUUUCCACCAAAAUAUUAAUUUGAUUAAAAAAAAUCAGUUGGUCAUAAUUAUUCGAUCUGGUCCUAAGUCAAUCUUACUGGAAUCACAGGAUUAAAUCUGAUCCUCUGACAUCGUGCAAAACAUGACUGUGCCUGCCUACACUUAACUGCUGACCUAUCUUAAUCAUCCCCAUAAUUAAUAUGCUGAAGCAAAGUCAUGUUCUAACACAGUCUGAUUUUCUAGUGAAGGCAAAUGCCAAGCAGCAUUAGGAAUGAAUGGGAACACCCCGAGAUGGCUUCCUCUUGCACCAACCCUGGAGAACCACCAUGGGUAAUUGCUCCUCUACCUUCACAGUCCUUUCAUGCACAAACCCAGAAGGCCCAAGAGGACUUCUACCCUAAUUAAAAGCUAAGCAAACUCCUGACAAGAGGCAGUGAGGCCAUGCAGGCUACGUUGGCCAUGGGUUUGAGCAGACACCUGGGUUUGAGCCACGCUCAGCCUGGCUCCAGCUGCUCUGGUGUUUGGCCAAUUACCAACACCUGAAUACUCUGACAAGACACAGGCAACCCAAGAAAGUAAUGAAAGAAGAAGGAAAGACCUUCAAGCUCCCUCCCAGGUCUUUGCUCCCAAGGCAGAGCUGCACCUCGCCUUGCUUCCUUCUCCGUUUUGCAGGAGGAAAUUCCCAGAGAUAUCAGUGAUGUUCCUUGCUGCCUUUACUUCUGCUCCAGCGUUUCUGCUCCCCCAUGGCCCCAAGACCAGCAGUGAGGGAGCAGGCACCUCUCCUGGGUUGGGAACCGCGUGUUUCCAAAUGGAGUUUCAGUACCAAUACAAAAAAGUCACCGCUCUUAGGUGAUUCUGGCCUCUUCUGCCUCUUCCCAAGCAGCCUCACUGCUCCUCACCUCCUCCCAGGCUCAUCACAUUUUCUAUGUCGUAGCAGGCUUUCUGGUUUACUGUGAGCACUUCUGAAGUUUGAGGUCCAAAAUUAGAGGCUGCAACUGGCAAUUCCCUGACCCAAGUGCAAAAUUCCCAUCUUGGGAGCCUCAUCCCUCUGCUUUCAUGGGGAAGCUGCUCCUCCCUCUCCGGGAAAGCCUGCGCCUCCUCGCUGCCAGCUCCCGCACGAGGCUUCUCACGGCCCCGGAGCCAGCCAGAGAGGCUAACGGGGAUCAGUCAGGUUCCCUCAGUCUUUAUUUGUGUGUCAUCUGCGCACCCAUCGGACCGUCCCUGUUUCGGCCUGCUCCUGCUCUGAUGCAAGACGCUGCCGCUCUGGCAAAACGCUUGAACUAAAUGGCCCUUCUUGGGUGUCCCUGUCCUCCAAAGGGCAGCGGGUAAUCCCAGGCUCCGGGAAAAAUCGGGCAGGAAAACAGGGACAGGAUAAACCCCCGGGCACGCUGGAAGGACGGCUGACUUCUCCUGCAGCAGGGAUGGGGGAGAGGAAAGGCACAGCAAGGCUGUGGUGAGGCUUGGAGACUCCGAAGAGCCGGCAAAUCCCUGGAUAAAAGGGAAAAUAUGUUCCUAAUAAAUAACACUGAAGUAA